AUGAACGCUAGCUACAGGCUUAACACAUGCAAGUCGCGGGGCAGCAUGGGGGUUGCUUGCAAUCCCCGAUGGCGACCGGCGCACGGGUGAGUAACGCGUGUCCAACCUGCCCUUCACCACGGGAUAACCCGGCGAAAGUCGGACUAAUACCGUAUGUUGUCCAUUGACGGCAUCCGAUUUGGACGAAAGGUUUGGCGGUGAAGGAUGGGGAUGCGUCCGAUUAGCUGGACGGCGGGGUGACGGCCCACCGUGGCGACGAUCGGUAGGGGUUCUGAGGGGAAGGUCCCCCACACUGGAACUGAGACACGGUCCAGACUCCUACGGGAGGCAGCAGUGAGGAAUAUUGGUCAAUGGGCGUAAGCCUGAACCAGCCAAGUAGCGUGCAGGAUGACGGCCCUAUGGGUUGUAAACUGCUUUUAUGCGGGGAUAAAGUGGCCCACGUGUGGGUUUUUGCAGGUACCGCAUGAAUAAGGACCGGCUAAUUCCGUG
rnacentral:rRNA from 1 species